AUUGAACGCUGGCGGAAUGCUUUACACAUGCAAGUCGAGCGGCAGCGCGGGGCAACCUGGCGGCGAGCGGCGAACGGGUGAGUAGUGCAUCGGAACAUGUCCAUGUCGUGGGGGAUAGCCCGGCGAAAGCCGGAUUAAUACCGCAUACGCUCGAGAGAGGAAAGCCGGGGACCGCAAGGCCUGGCGCGAUUGGGUUGGCCGAUGUCCGAUUAGCUAGUUGGUGAGGUAAAGGCUUACCAAGGCGAUGAUCGGUAGCUGGUCUGAGAGGAUGAUCAGCCACACUGGGACUGAGACACGGCCCAGACUCCUACGGGAGGCAGCAGUGGGGAAUUUUGGACAAUGGGGGCAACCCUGAUCCAGCCAUUCCGCGUGAGUGAAGAAGGCCUCGGUUGUAAGACGUCUUUCGGUC
rnacentral:rRNA from 1 species